rnacentral:rRNA from 1 species
UUGACCUCGGAUCAGGUAGGGAUACCCGCUGAACUUAAGCAUAUCAAUAAGCGGAGGAAAAGAAACCAACAGGGAUUGCUCUAGUAACGGCGAGUGAAGCAGCAAUAGCUCAAAUUUGAAAUCUGGCGUCUUCGGCGUCCGAGUUGUAAUUUGUAGAGGAUGCUUCUGGGCAGCCACCGACCUAAGUUCCUUGGAACAGGACGUCAUAGAGGGUGAGAAUCCCGUAUGCGGUCGGAAAGGCACCCUACACGUAGCUCCUUCGACGAGUCGAGUUGUUUGGGAAUGCAGCUCUAAAUGGGAGGUAAAUUUCUUCUAAAGCUAAAUAUUGGCCAGAGACCGAUAGCGCACAAGUAGAGUGAUCGAAAGAUGAAAAGCACUUUGGAAAGAGAGUUAAAAAGCACGUGAAAUUGUUGAAAGGGAAGGGAUUGCAACCAGACUUGCUCGCGGUGUUCCGCCGGUCUUCUGACCGGUUCACUCGCCGCGUUGCAGGCCAGCAUCGUCUGGUGCCGCUGGAUAAGACUGGAGGAAUGUAGCUCCCUCGGGAGUGUUAUAGCCUCUAGUGAUGCAGCGAGCGCCGGGCGAGGUCCGCGCUUCGGCUAGGAUGCUGGCGUAAUGGUCGUAAUCCGCCCGUCUUGAAACACGGACCAAGGAGUCUAACAUCUAUGCGAGUGUUCGGGUGUCAAACCCCUACGCGUAAUGAAAGUGAACGGAGGUGAGAACCGCAAGGUGCAUCAUCGACCGAUCCUGAUGUCUUCGGAUGGAUUUGAGUAUGAGCAUAGCUGUUGGGACCCGAAAGAUGGUGAACUAUGCCUGAAUAGGGUGAAGCCAGAGGAAACUCUGGUGGAGGCUCGCAGCGGUUCUGACGUGCAAAUCGAUCGUCAAAUUUGGGUAUAGGG